rnacentral:misc_RNA from 1 species
AACGCACCUUGCGCCCUCUGGUAUUCCGGAGGGCAUGCCUGUUUGAGUGUCAUUAAAUUCUCAACUUCAAAAGUUUUUAUUAACUUAUUGAAGCUUGGAUGUGGAGGCUUGUUGGCGUCUUAGAUGUUCAGCUCCUCUUAAAUGCAUUAGUGGAAUUCCCGUUUGGUUGGUCCAUCUUGGUGUGAUAAUUAUCUACGCUUUGCUUGGUUCAACUGUCAGGUGUGCUUAGGCUAGAUCCUGGUUGUGAUAUCGCAUUAAGUUGCUUUAUCUGAAUGUGGGAAAUUUAUCUGCUUUCUAACUGUCUGUUGUUCAGCCAAUUUAUUGACUAUUUGACCUCAAAUCAGGUAGGACUACCCGCUGAACUUAA